GUCGAGAAUCUUUCACAAUGGGGGCAACCCUGAUGGAGCGACGCCGCGUGGAGGAUAAGGUCUUCGGAUUGUAAACUCCUGUCAUGCGUGAACAAGGUUGCUUGGUUAAUACCUGGGCAAAUUGAUGGUAACGCAAGAGGAAGAGACGGCUAACUCUGUGCCAGCAGCCGCGGUAAUACAGAGGUCUCAAGCGUUGUUCGGAAUCACUGGGCGUAAAGGGUGCGUAGGUGGCGUGGUAAGUCAGGUGUGAAAGCCCGGGGCUCAACCUCGGAACUGCAUCCGAUACUGCCAUGCUAGAGUACUGGAGAGGUGACUAGAAUUCUCGGUGUAGCAGUGAAAUGCGUAGAUAUCGAGAGGAAUACCAAAGGCGUAGGCAGGUCACUGGACAGUUACUGACACUGAGGCACGAAGGCCAGGGGAGCGAACGGGAUUAGAAACCCUGGUAGUCC
rnacentral:rRNA from 1 species